GUCGGAAAUUACUAGACGUCCGGAUUCGAGCGCGCGACCGGAUCUCCUUCUUCCCUUGUGCAAAUGUGGCUAUAACUUUUUAUCUUUUUACGAGAGAGAAGAAAAAAGGUACACAAAUACAUAUUAGCAAUACCAGUUAUCCCUCCUUUCAGAUAUCUAAAGAUGAAAGUGUGGUUUGCUAAAAGAUUAUCUUUGGUCUCAGAGUGACACUGCAUCCCAAAAGGAACAGGCAUGCAUAAAAGAAGAAGAGAUUCCACAGUGCGAUAGUCGACCCAUGCAGAAAAAAAAUAACAAAAGAAAACAUUUUGAAGGAUGAUUAAACUCUCAAGUUCCAUGUUUCAAUGCCUAAAUUUGAUAAGAGUUUCCAGUUGCCAGUUAUUGCAAUAAUUCAGAGGAUGUAAAACGGCUGAGUGACGAUAAUCGUACGUAUCAUCAUUACAUAACAAAGAUAACAAAGUAAGCAAAAAAUGCACACUCAAAGAUCCUCUCCAUCAACUGCGAAUAUCGUUCGAAAGUACUUCGAACUGUAUCUCUCUACCGCUGCGUUAUACUACUUUCAAGAUAUAAAUAUACGCUCUAGCGCUUGCAAAUAGAUACUGCGUUACACGCAGCAUAAUACCUCUAUCGUCUGCCUUUCUAAAGUGCCUUACGAACAUAUUUGCUUGUACAAAUAAUGCUAAAUCAUGAACGAAGAAAAAUACCAAUA